GGAUGUGAGGGUGAUCUGGCUGCAACAUCUGUCACCCCAUUGAUUGCCAGGGUUGAUUUGGCUGAUCUGGAUGGCUAGGUGGGUAUUCCCUUCCUCCCUCACUGCUCCAUGUGCAUCCCUCCCAAAGUUGCGCUCUUGGUCAAGGAGGUCGACCUUCCCCUAUAGAGAAUGACCAUUCUUCUGUCAAGGGUAUACGAGUAGCUGUGAUCCCCUGUUAGAAGCUCCAAACAAGGUCUCAAAUACUAUUCAUUCUAACUAUCUACCCAUAUUGUUGUACUCAUUAAUCAU
rnacentral:snRNA from 1 species